rnacentral:rRNA from 1 species
UAGUAAUAGUUAAGGUCUUGAAACCCAAAAGAUUUGGCGGUACUUUAGUCUAUUCAGAGGAACUUGUAAAAUAAUCGAUAAUCCACGAUGGACCUUACUUAAUUUUGUUUUUCAAUUUGUAUACCGCCGUUAUUUGAAAAUUUUAUAAGAAUAUUAAUUUUCAUGAAUUUUUAUACAGGAAUAUAUCAGGUCAAGGUGCAGUUUAUAGUUAAGUUAUUAUGAGUUACAAUAAUUUUAUUUAAACGGAUUUUAAAUUUAAAUUUUUUUUAAGAAGGUGGAUUUGAUAGUAAAUUUCUAGAGAUAGGGGAGUUGAUUUUAGCUCUAAAGUAUGCACACAUCGCCCGUCGCUCUUGUUAAUAAAAUAAGAUAAGUCGUAACAUAGUAGAUGUACUGGAAGGUGCAUCUAGAAUGACAAUUUAAAGCUUGUUAGUAAAGCAUUUCAUUUACAUUGAGAGGAUUGUUGUGCAAGUCAACAUGAAUUGAUAUUAUUUAAUUAUUGACGCUGUUUUU